rnacentral:sRNA from 1 species
UUUGCGCCCCGAGUUGAGUGGAAAUCCUUUUUUGCUGAACGAAGUGAAGCAAAAAAGAUUGGGAACGGAACGAGGAAAUUUGG